rnacentral:misc_RNA from 1 species
GUAUAGAUUUCAAAAGAACACAAGGCUCUUCUUAGAAUAUUGACAUUCAAAAACUGUGUUUUAAGAAAAAUACAUAAGACACCAGGAAAGAACAAGGGAAGCCAACCUAAAAAGAAUGAAGGCCAGCAAACCCUCUCUCUCAAUGUCCACUUGAAAGGUGCACAGGUGAUAGAUAAAUGAGAAAGAUUUAAAAAGGUGUGCACAUGCUCCAAAAAAGCCAGCAACAAACCCCUUGUUUUGUCAUUUCAUUUCAUUAAUGAUCCUUCCGCAGGUUCACCUACGGAAA